GAUGAAGAACGUAGUGAAAUGCGAUAAUUAAUGUGAAUUGCAGAAUUCAGUGAAUCAUCGAGUCUUUGAACGCACAUUGCGCCCCCUGGUAUUCCGGGGGGCAUGCCUGUCCGAGCGUCAUUGCUGCCCUCAAGCGCGGCUUGUGUGUUGGGCUUCCGUCCCUGGCAACGGGGACGGGCCCAAAAGGCAGUGGCGGCACCAUGUCUGGUCCUCGAGCGUAUGGGGCUUUGUCACCCGCUCCCGUAGGUCCAGCUGGCAGCUAGCCUCGCAACCAAUCUUUUUAACCAGGUUGACCUCGGAUCAGGUAGGGAUACCCGCUGAACUUAAGCAUAUCAAUAAGCGGAGGA
rnacentral:misc_RNA from 1 species